rnacentral:lncRNA from 1 species
UUAGGGUUUCAUAAUCAUGUCAAUAUAUAUACUAUACAUUAUAACACUUUUAUACACACUCAACAUAUAUAUACAAUUACUGUUUUUACCUUCACAGAGGGAAAGGUAGAUUUAUCAUAUUUGAAGAACGGGGAUAUGUAUGUCUACUGAAAUAACUGAUAAUCAAGUAUUCACUAACUCAUACAAACAUGUAUGUAUAUGGACCGAAACUAAUGAUCUACCUAAGUGUGACAAUUUUAUCUAAUAUAUUCAUAUUCACUUAUCAAAGCUAAGUCAGGUAUCAGACUGCCAAUGUUGGCUGAGAGUCAUAAAGCAAGGAGAUAAAGAAUGGCACAGUAUAACACAACAGCAAUACCCUUGGUUUAAAAAGUGUGAGGUGCUCCAAGGCGUUCAAGUCUCGAAAGCCAAGAUGCGAGGCAAGAGCUUCACGUACACGAGGCACUAGGUAUUCAUAUAAAAUUUAUAGUUUAAAGAUAAUACGUACUACAUUGUUAAAAUCUUCAAGCACCCACAAUGUAGAUGACCAAAAAAAAUACAUACAAUUUGAUAUACAAAGAAACUCUAUGUGCAAUCAAACAAGCUAUAUGUAGAACUGAAGUAGCUCAAGAAAACAAAUACACAGUAAAAAAGCUUCAUGUACAACCUAAAAGACUUUAUGUAUAAAUCUAAGAAGCCUUAUUUGAACUGAAACCUAAGACGCAACAAUUUAGAAAAGUAUAUGUGCAACCUAUAAAGGCUGAAAAAAACAGUAAGAAACAAAUUUAACAAAAAAAAAAUAAGGAGAGUCAGAAAAUGGGCUAUUACUUGAUAAUAUAUAUAUAUAAAUAUAUAUGCCUGUAACACAUUAACAGGGCCUCACCUCCUACCCCUUUAUUUAAACUUAGAGCACUAAAUCAUAGUUGUCGAUAGCGAAUAGCGACAAAUAGCGACAAGGCACCUAUAGGCUACGUAGCGAAUAGCGACAAAUAGCGACGGCUAUUUUAUAAAUAGCGAUUACACUAGAAAAAGAAUUUUGAAAAUUUUUACAUGUAUAUUACAUCAAAAUACCCUUGUAUAUAUGCUAUUUUAUAUGUAUAUUUAACAAAAACUAAUAGUUAGCAGCAAAAGUUUAGGACUUAUAUGUUGGAAGUUUUGGGUGUGUGAAUGAAAGUCAAAAAAGGUGGUAAAUACUUUGUCCCACAUUGGUGUGUGAACAAAGUGAGUAGUUGCUUAUAAGGUAAAGUAUUUACUACUCCAUUGUAGCUUUAUGACAUGUUUUACCACAAGUCCUACCCGCGCGUAGGGGGGUGCAAAAAAUGAGUUUCUGAUCUGGAAUUUAAUUGAACUCGUGCGUGCCCGCUCCGAAAACCCGGGCCUGCUUUGCACCAUUAACCUUCGUUUUUGUAUUAAAAAAUGCUGCAACAUCAAAUC